CCUACGGGUGGCAGCAGUGAGGAAUAUUGGUCAAUGGACGCAAGUCUGAACCAGCCAUGCCGCGUGCAGGAAGACGGCUCUCUGAGUUGUAAACUGCUUUUGUACGAGGGUAAACGCAGAUACGCGUAUCUUUCUGAAAGUAUCGUACGAAUAAGGAUCGGCUAACUCCGUGCCAGCAGCCGCGGUAAUACGGAGGAUUCAAGCGUUAUCCGGAUUUAUUGGGUUUAAAGGGUGCGUAGGCGGUCGGAUAAGUAUGAGGUGAAAUCCCGAGGCUCAACUUCGGAAUUGCCUGUGAUACUGUGCGGCUAGAGAGUAGUAGCGGUAGGCGGAAUGUAUGGUGUAGCGGUGAAAUGCUUAGAGAUCAUACAGAACACCGAUUGCGAAGGCAGCUUACCAAGCUACUUCUGACGUUGAGGCACGAAAGCGUGGGGAGCAAACAGGAUUAGAUACCCGAGUAGUC
rnacentral:rRNA from 1 species